AGUGAACGCUGGCGGUAGGCCUAACACAUGCAAGUCGAACGGCAGCACAGUAAGCGCUUGCUCUUACGGGUGGCGAGUGGCGGAUGGGUGAGGAAUACAUCGGAAUCUACUUUUUCGUGGGUGAUAACGUAGGGAGACUUACGCUAAUACCGCAUACGACCUACGGGUGGAAGCAGGGGAGCUUCGGACCUUGCGCGAUUGAAUGAGCCGAUGUCGGAUUAGCUAGUUGGCGGGGUAAAGGCCCACCAAGGCGACGAUCCGUAGCUGGUCUGAGAGGAUGAUCAGCCACACUGGAACUGAGACACGGUCCAGACCCCUACGGGAGGCAGCAGUGGGGAAUAUUGGACAAGGGGCGCAAGCCUGAUCCAGCCAGACCGCGUGGGUGAAGAAGGCCUUCGGGUUGUAAAGCCCUUUUGUGGGGAAAGAAAAGCAGCAGGUUAAUACCCCGCUGUUCUGACGGUACCCAAAGAAUAAGCACCGGCAAACUUCGG
rnacentral:rRNA from 1 species